AUAAGUUCCUGCCACGGCAGGCAACCCCCUGGCUUCCCUUCUCUCGCGGGCAGCCUGUGGGGCACUGGCUUGGCAGCCUAUCACAGAACAUAAGAACUCUUGGUUUCCCUGAAGCAGGCUUUGAAACACAUUCUGUCAGCUUCUGGAAGCAUCUGUGGUGAGUAAGGUGGGCAGUGGAGUCAAGACGUUUGGCUGUGCUUGUAGGAGGAAGCUGCCACCUUCCUGAGGACUUACGGUAUGCAGACCGCCUCUCUCUGCCUGAACCUGUUUUCUGCUGAGAUCUAGAGUGAUGAAGACGAAGUGCACCACUUCAGGCCUGUGAUUGUGACUGCCAGCCAUCUGCUAGCCUGCAGCUUCCUCUUUCCCUCUGUUCAUCCUGACUGCAGCACCCCAGCACCAGAAGGGGACACAUUAUGGCCAUUGUGACCAGCUGAUGUCUCUGGGGCCUGAGUUAUCCAGCCAGCUGUGUGUACUCAGCCACAGCAUGUGGCCAGGCGGUUGCUCAGUGGUGGUCAGCUGCGCUCCACUUCCCUCCCUCGCACACCUGCUCAGGUGUGAAGCUCUUCUUCCUGCCACAGGGGCCACAAUCACACUCAGCUGCCUUCUGCUUCUCAGAGCCCAGAGUCGCUUUUGGCCGCAAUGCAGCCACACCCAUGGGGUCAAAGUCCUACCCGAGAGCCCCUCGGCCUUCGUCCCCAGCAGGACCCCAUCCAUGACCACCAACACCCUGGGCCACUGGCCCCCAGCCUGUGUGUCCACACUGGGAAGAGGCUCCAGCUGGGUCAGGGGUUUGGGGGCUGCUGCAGGACAUAUCACCCCCAUCCCCGGCAAGGGGCUCAGCCUUGAGGCCCUCAGGUUUGUCUCCAGCCCCCCAUCAAGUCCAGGGACGGGCUUCAGAGAGC
rnacentral:lncRNA from 1 species